ACAGCCAAAAAAUAAGUCGAGAGGAAAUAUGGUGGCUCAUUGUUGUAUUGCAACAGGACUGAUGCAAGUAACUGUCAGCAGAGGAUACAUCAGGAGCAGUGGUCCAACACAAGGGAAGCUUUAAAGUUAUUUAAGCAAUCUGAGCCCCAAUGUAUAUUUGCAUUUGGGGGAGUUGAUUUUGAAGUGAUCCAUUAGUGUUGUGUUGCUUCCUAAAGAAACUCAAGGGUGAGAACACGUGCUUCCAUCGUAAACGGCCGCUUAGAGCUUGGUAAUGUCAUCUUAGAGAAAAUCUCUGCUGUCCUUUGAGUGUGGUCUUCAGAGGAGAUUGCCAGUCACCUUUGAUAUGGUAUCCAUUAGAUUUUAUUUUCUGAGCACACACUUGUACUCUAUCGACUCAUGACUUUCCCUUGGACUAUCAUGGCCAUUACAUGUCUAAGUAACUUGAUUGUGCUCCUGGAGUUACACUCUGCUCCUAUAUGUGAUA